rnacentral:lncRNA from 1 species
GUGAAUUCAGCAGCCAUGAAGACUUGGGUGCCGUGGCAGGAGGGCCCAGCCCAGGGCCUGGCUCAUCGCUCACACCCCAGCACACAGGGCCACCCAGGGAUCAGACGGGAGGGCAUGUGGAGCUUCGAGUGCCUGUGACAUGAUCCCACUCUCCUCCUUUGGUGGUUGCGGCAUGGCUCCUCCAGCGAAGGCAGGAGGGUUGAUAUUACAGUCGUGUACCGCAAUAACGACAUUUUGGUCAACAGACGACAGUGGUCCCAUGAGAUUAGUACCACGUAACUAAGGCGUGUAGCAGGCCGUACCAUCCAGGUUCCUGUUAUAAAGUAACGAGUUUGGUUUUUUGUCACUGAAAGAACAUCCCUAUUUAACUGCAAAUGUCAAGAUUCCAUAGCGACGUUUCAAGAGGAUACAACACGAAGCCUCCAGUUACAUGACAUUACAG